UCGAGAAUUUUUGACAAUGGGGGAAACCCUGAUCGAGCGACGCCGCGUGGAGGAUGAAGGUCUUCGGGUUGUAAACUCCUGUCAUUUGGGAACAAUGGUUAUGCGUUAACUGCGCGUGACUUGAUAGUACCAGAAGAGGAAGAGACGGCUAACUCUGUGCCAGCAGCCGCGGUAAUACAGAGGUCUCAAGCGUUGUUCGGAUUCAUUGGGCGUAAAGGGUGCGUAGGCGGCGCGGUAAGUCGGGUGUGAAAUCUCGGAGCUUAACUCCGAAACUGCAUUCGAUACUGCCGUGCUUGAGGACUGGAGAGGAGACUGGAAUUUACGGUGUAGCAGUGAAAUGCGUAGAUAUCGUAAGGAAGACCAGUGGCGAAGGCGGGUCUCUGGACAGUUCCUGACGCUGAGGCACGAAGGCCAGGGGAGCAAACGGGAUUAGAUACCCCGUAGUCC
rnacentral:rRNA from 1 species